GCUGGAUCUUGUGCCGCUGGGAGACAUAGUAUUUACAAAUCCUCCUGACUGACAUUCCCUGGUGUGUCUUCUCCUUUUGGAAAAGGAUGGCAAAGAAUACCCUACAGAGAUAUGCUGACUCCAAGAAGAGACAGGAGGCUCCAUCUGAACAGCCAUCUGAAGUCGCUGCAUGGUGAAAGCAAGGCUGGACUGUGCAUACCUGGGAAACCAGCCAGACACAGGCACAACACCAUGCUUUUCAAGACAGACAAGAACCAGAACCCUCUAUUCUCUUUGCUCUGGCUAGAAGCUGUUUGAGGAGGGCUGACAUGGGUGACAGGCAGCAGUGUGAAACAGCAAGGAAGAUGAAGACCAUAUGUGGGCCACAGUAUCCGCACAAGAUACG